GGGAAUUUAGUUAAUAAUAACAUUUAGUUUGCAACUAAAAAGUAUUGAAUUUCAAUAUUUCUCA
rnacentral:tRNA from 1 species